UACAGAGGUGGCAAGCGUUGUUCGGAAUUACUGGGCGUAAAGGGCGCGUAGGCGGCCUUCUAAGUCAGACGUGAAAUCCCCCGGCUUAACCUGGGAACUGCGUCUGAUACUGGAGGGCUUGAGUGCGGGAGAGGGAUGUGGAAUUCCAGGUGUAGCGGUGAAAUGCGUAGAUAUCUGGAGGAACACCGGUGGCGAAGGCGGCAUCCUGGACCGACACUGACGCUGAGGCGCGAAAGCGUGGGUAGCAAACAGG
rnacentral:rRNA from 1 species